AGUGAACGCUGGCGGUAGGCCUAACACAUGCAAGUCGAACGGCAGCACAGUAAGAGCUUGCUCUUACGGGUGGCGAGUGGCGGACGGGUGAGGAAUACAUCGGAAUCUACUUUUUCGUGGGGGAUAACGUAGGGAAACUUACGCUAAUACCGCAUACGACCUACGGGUGAAAGCAGGGGAUCUUCGGACCUUGCGCGAUUGAAUGAGCCGAUGUCGGAUUAGCUAGUUGGCGGGGUAAGGGCCCACCAAGGCGACGAUACGUAGCUGGUCUGAGAGGAUGAUCAGCCACACUGGAACUGAGACACGGUCCAGACUCCUACGGGAGGCAGCAGUGGGGAAUAUUGGACAAUGGGCGCAAGCCUGAUCCAGCCAUACCGCGUGGGUGAAGAAGGCCUUCGGGUUGUAAAGCCCUUUUGUUGGGAAAGAAAAGCAGCAGGUUAAUACCCCGCUGUUCUGACGGUACCCAAAGAAUAAGCACCGGCUAACUUCGUG
rnacentral:rRNA from 1 species